rnacentral:lncRNA from 1 species
GUUGGCUCUGGAAUUCAUUUGACAUGGUCAUAAUUCUCUUUGAUAGCUUCUUUGCUUUCUGGUAUGUUCCAGGCUCAUCUUGUAUAUAUCCUGCCCCAGAUCUGGAAGCAGCCAUUUCUCUUCAGUUCCUUUCAGUUGGGAGUGUUGUUUGGAGACCACGAAAUCUGGAUACUCCCAUAUUUGAGUACACACUCCCUGAGACCAGACACUCACCACCUGAGUUCACUGCUAUAUUCUGGUGCCUGAAACAGUGCCUGGCACACAGAAGAGUCUCAAAGGCCCAAGAUGAAGGAAGAGAUGAGUGCAUUAAUGAAUGAGUCAAUCGAUCAAUCUGCUAAGCAGCCAAAAUAAAGCAGGGAUUCCUGAUUGUCAUGAAGCUCGCCUCCAAGAGUGAUUCUGGUACCCAGGAUCCUUGCUCCUUGUGACUCUGCCACCUUACAUCAUGGCUUUGAAGAUCCUCAUGUUUAUCUGCAUCAAUCUAGAAGAGUAAAAAUCAUGAAGAAUAUCCAAGAAGAUUUUUAUAAGCCAAGUCUGGAAGUGGCACAUAUCCCUUCUGCUCACAUUCUAUUGGUUAGAACCCAGCUCAUGGCUACACCUACCAGAAAGGGUCUGGGAAGUAUAGUCUAGCUGUUGGUACAGGAAGAUCAACAAGCUUUGAGGAACACAGAGCAGUCUCCCAAUCUUGUACAAAGCUGAGAAAUUGUCACAAUUACGUGAUUCUUAGCCCCAUGCAAGAGCUUGAGAAUAGGAAUAAACUAAGGACCAAUUUUAUAAAAUAUUUUGAC